rnacentral:rRNA from 1 species
GACGAACGCUGGCGGCGUGCUUAACACAUGCAAGUCGAACGAAGAGCGAUGGAAGCUUGCUUCUAUCAAUCUUAGUGGCGAACGGGUGAGUAACGCGUAAUCAACCUGCCCUUCAGAGGGGGACAACAGUUGGAAACGACUGCUAAUACCGCAUACGAUCUAAUCUCGGCAUCGAGGAUAGAUGAAAGGUGGCCUCUACAUGUAAGCUAUCACUGAAGGAGGGGAUUGCGUCUGAUUAGCUAGUUGGAGGGGUAACGGCCCACCAAGGCGAUGAUCAGUAGCCGGUCUGAGAGGAUGAACGGCCACAUUGGGACUGAGACACGGCCCAGACUCCUACGGGAGGCAGCAGUGGGGAAUCUUCCGCAAUGGACGAAAGUCUGACGGAGCAACGCCGCGUGAGCGAUGACGGCCUUCGGGUUGUAAAGCUCUGUUAAUCGGGACGAAAGGCCUUCUUGCGAAUAGUGAGAAGGAUUGACGGUACCGGAAUAGAAAGCCGCGGCUAACUACGUG